UACGUAGGGUGCAAGCGUUGUCCGGAAUUAUUGGGCGUAAAGAGCUCGUAGGCGGUUUGUCGCGUCUGCUGUGAAAAUCCAGGGCUUAACCCUGGACCUGCAGUGGGUACGGGCAGACUAGAGUGCGGUAGGGGAGAUCGGAAUUCCUGGUGUAGCGGUGAAAUGCGCAGAUAUCAGGAGGAACACCGGUGGCGAAGGCGGAUCUCUGGGCCGUAACUGACGCUGAGUGCGCGAAAGCCAGGGGAGCAAACGGG
rnacentral:rRNA from 1 species